AACAUUCCCAUGGCAACAGAUGAACCCUAGUCAUAAACCUGCAGAUGCUGUCAGUGCCACUACAUCGGCUGCAACUGAAGCUGUUCAGACAGUAAUAGUUUGGAGAUAAUUUUCCAGGGAAUGCAGUUAUCCUGCUGCACUGUAGAGACACAGUCAUUCAGGAAGAUAGUGAGUGGUUAUACUGUUAUAUGUGCUACACUCAGGAGUCACUUGGGCUUGUGAGGAAUCUCUUACUCUUGGAGCCGGUCUUUAUUCAUUGCCUGUCUCUGUGAGAUAAGUCAAAGGCCUUGCUGGGGCUGGCUGUGGCUUCCCCUUGAAGCACUGAAGAAUAUUUUCCUCUAUGUUGCCCUCCUCUUUGUACCGUGGACUCUUGGUAGCCUCCAAGACAAGAGAACAG